rnacentral:misc_RNA from 1 species
GAUGAAGAACGUAGCGAAAUGCGAUAAGUAAUGUGAAUUGCAGAAUUCAGUGAAUCAUCGAAUCUUUGAACGCACAUUGCGCCCCUUGGUAUUCCGAGGGGCAUGCCUAUUCGAGCGUCAUUAUCACCCCUCAAGCUCCGGCUUGGUGUUGAGGCCUGCUGUAAAGGCACCCUCUAAAAUCAGUGGCAGUGCUGUCAGGCUCUAAGCGUAGUAAUUCUCUCGCUACAGGGUCCCGGUGGACACUCGCCAGAACCCCCCCAUUUUUUAAUGAUUGACCUCGGAUUAGGUAGGGAUACCCGCUGAACUUAAGCAUAUCAUAAGCGGAGGA